GGAAGUUAUCACUGCGCCUGUAACCAUGGAUAUGUGCUUCCUUCUGGGGAUGACACAUUCCCAAAUGCCACCAUGAACAACUGUCAAGAUGUGGAUGAAUGUCAGCUCAACAGUUCACUCUGUACACCUGGUGGGUUCUGUAUAAAUAAGCCUGGAAGCUAUGUAUGCAAAUGCAAGCCAGGCUUUGCCCGAAGCAACCAGAACCAGAUUAUGGACUGCAUAGAUGUUGAUGAAUGUGCACCACCCAUUAAUAUGUCUUGUGGUCAGAAUGCUGACUGUGUUAAUACAAAGGGAACUUUCC